ACUAUUCCUAUAAGCAUUGUAGAUGUGGCUGAUGUGUCACAUGUUUGUCAUUGAGUGGAAGAAUGGACAAAGGCUAUGUCUAAGCUCAGUGUUCUGACCUAAAAACAGUCAGUUUAGACUACCAACAGUAUGAGGCU